rnacentral:rRNA from 1 species
GAUGAACGCUGGCGGCGUGCCUAAUACAUGCAAGUCGAGCGAACAGACGAGGAGCUUGCUCCUCUGACGUUAGCGGCGGACGGGUGAGUAACACGUGGAUAACCUACCUAUAAGACUGGGAUAACUUCGGGAAACCGGAGCUAAUACCGGAUAAUAUAUUGAACCGCAUGGUUCAAUAGUGAAAGACGGUUUUGCUGUCACUUAUAGAUGGAUCCGCGCCGCAUUAGCUAGUUGGUAAGGUAACGGCUUACCAAGGCAACGAUGCGUAGCCGACCUGAGAGGGUGAUGGGCCACACUGGAACUGAGACACGGUCCAGACUCCUACGGGAGGCCGCAGUAGGGACUCUUCCGCAAUGGGCGAAAGCCUGACGGAGCAACGCCGCGUGAGUGAUGAAGGUCUUCGGAUCGUAAAACUCUGUUAUUAGGGAAGAACAAAUGUGUAAGUAACUAUGCAUGUCUUGACGGUACCUAAUCAGAAAGCCACGGCUAACUACGUG